rnacentral:rRNA from 1 species
GACGAACGCUGGCGGCGUGCCUAAUACAUGCCAGUAGAACGCACAGUUUAUACCGUAGCUUGCUACACCAUAGACUGUGAGUUGCGAACGGGUGAGUAACGCGUAGGUAACCUGCCUGGUAGCGGGGGGUAACUAUUGGAAACGAUAGCUAAUACCGCAUAAUAUUGAUUAUUGCAUGAUAAUUGAUUGAAAGAUGCUAUUGCAUCACUACCAGAUGGACCUGCGUUGUAUUAGCUAGUAGGUGAGGUAACGGCUCACCUAGGCGACGAUACAUAGCCGACCUGAGAGGGUGAUCGGCCACACUGGGACUGAGACACGGCCCAGACUCCUACGGGAGGCAGCAGUAGGGAAUCUUCGGCAAUGGACGAAAGUCUGACCGAGCAACGCCGCGUGAGUGAAGAAGGUUUUCGGAUCGUAAAGCUCUGUUGUAAGAGAAGAACGGGUGUGAGAGUGGAAAGUUCACACUGUGACGGUAUCUUACCAGAAAGGGACGGCUAACUACGUG